rnacentral:lncRNA from 1 species
AUAUGCUAAUAUGCUGUAUGGUGGAAAAAUGCAAUAAUCAAACCAGGUAAUAAAACAAUUCACUCUAUGGAUCCUAUGGGAGAACAGAUAAAUUCCAUCAAAAAAGAAGAAGUGAAAUGGAAUAGUUGUUACUUACAACAAAGAUAUGGUGUUUCAGAAAAGUUUGAAAUAUUAACAUUACCACAUGCCAUACAAGCUGAAGUUUGCUGAAAGUUAUACAAAUGGAGAAGUAUUGGUGCGUUUCUUUCCACAUGUAGAAGUUAAUGCAUACAGAAAGAGAGAUAAAGGAGGUCAGAAAAGUUGGCAGAAUAGUUUGUGUCGCAUUUGUGGAAGCGAAAUUGGUCAAAAAACUAGAAAAAAUCAAAAAAAAGUUAAAUGGAUCAAAUGUGAUAUUUGCAUCUAAAUUGAUGGUACCGUAUAAGAUGCAUUGUUUUUAAAAAUGAAACUUUAUUUUGUUGUGAACAUAUUUAUAUAUAAAUGU